rnacentral:rRNA from 1 species
UACGUAGGGUGCGAGCGUUAAUCGGAAUUACUGGGCGUAAAGAGUGCGCAGGCGGUGAGCUGUGUCCGAUGUGAAAGCCCCGGGCUCAACCUGGGAAUGGCAGUGGAUACUGGCAAGCUAGAGUGCGGUAGAGGGUAGUGGAAUUCCCGGUGUAGCAGUGAAAUGCGUAGAGAUCGGGAGGAACACCAGUGGCGAAGGCGGCUACCUGGACCAGCACUGACACUGAAGCACGAAAGCGUGGGGAGCAAACAGG